rnacentral:rRNA from 1 species
CAGUCGCCGCGGUAAUACGUAGGUCCCGAGCGUUGUCCGGAUUUAUUGGGCGUAAAGCGAGCGCAGGCGGUUAGAUAAGUCUGAGGUUAAAGGCUGUGGCUUAACCAUAGUACGCUUUGGAAACUGUUUAACUUGAGUGCAGAAGGGGAGAGUGGAAUUCCAUGUGUAGCGGUGAAAUGCGUAGAUAUAUGGAGGAACACCGGUGGCGAAAGCGGCUCUCUGGUCUGUAACUGACGCUGAGGCUCGAAAGCGUGGGGAGCAAACAGGAUUAGAUACCCGCGUAGUCCCUGUCUCUUAUACA